CCGGUUUGGCACCUCGAUGUCGGCUCAUCGCAUCCUGGGGCUGGAGAAGGUCCCAAGGGUCCGGCUGUUCGCCGGUUAAAGCGGUACGCGAGCUGGGUUCAGAACGUCGUGAGACAGUUCGGUCCUUAUCCACUGUGGGCGAAGGAAACUUGAGGGGUUCAUUCCUUAGUACGAGAGGACCGGGAAUGACGCACUUCUGGUGUGGCAGUUGUUCCGUCAGGGGCAACGCUGCGUAGCCAUGUGCGGAAGGGAUAAGCGCUGAAAGCAUCUAAGUGCCAAGCCCAUCCCAAGAUAAUGUUUCCCGGCCGCAAGGCCCUAAAGACUCCGGGUAGACUACCCGGUUGAUAGGUCAGGCGUGUAAGCGCUGUAAGGCGCUCAGCGGACUGAUACUAAUAUGUCGUGAGGCUUGAUCGU
rnacentral:rRNA from 1 species